UCGACGGCAGCGCGGGGCAACCUGGCGGCGAGUGGCGAACGGGUGAGUAAUAUAUCGGAACGUGCCCUGGAGUGGGGGAUAACGCAGCGAAAGUUGCGCUAAUACCGCAUACGAUCUAAGGAUGAAAGCAGGGGACCGCAAGGCCUUGUGCUCCUGGAGCGGCCGAUAUCUGAUUAGCUAGUUGGUGGGGUAGAGGCCUACCAAGGCAUCGAUCAGUAGCUGGUCUGAGAGGACGACCAGCCACACUGGAACUGAGACACGGUCCAGACUCCUACGGGAGGCAGCAGUGGGGAAUUUUGGACAAUGGGCGCAAGCCUGAUCCAGCAAUGCCGCGUGAGUGAAGAAGGCCUUCGGGUUGUAAAGCUCUUUUGUCAGGGAAGAAACGGUGAGUUCUAAUACAGUUCACUAAUGACGGUACCUGAAGAAUAAGCACCGGCUAACUACGUGCCAGCAGCCGCGGUAAUACGUAGGGUGCGAGCGUUAAUCGGAAUUACUGGGCGUAAAGCGUGCGCAGGCGGUGAUGUAAGACAGUUGUGAAAUCCCCGGGCUCAACCUGGGAAUUGCAUCUGUGACUGCAUCGCUAGAGUACGGUAGAGGGGGAUGGAAUUCCGCGUGUAGCAGUGAAAUGCGUAGAUAUGCGGAGGAACACCGAUGGCGAAGGCAAUCCCCUGGACCUGUACUGACGCUCAUGCACGAAAGCGUGGGAGCA
rnacentral:rRNA from 1 species